ACCUCUUUACUUGCCUUUGGUUCAACGAAGUUGACCGCUUUACUUCAAGGGACCAAAUCAGCUUUUCCACAGUAAGAGAUAAGAUUCGGGCAAAGACAAAUUGGACUGUGAACAUGUUCAUGGACUGUGAAAGGCGCAACUUUGUAGUUCAGAAGUACCAUAGAGAUGUUUUAGAGCACAUGGCUCCUCCUCCUCCUGCUGUAUAUCCACCACCACUGCCCCCUGUUUUGGUGCAUGAACCACCAAUUAAAACAGCACUGGAAACUUCUGCUGAAAGGGUUGCAAGUAUUCCGGUUCGGAGGGCAAGGCGAGGGAGGAAGUCUAACUCUAGGCACCAUCGCAAAGUUGUUGCUGGUGGCAGGGA
rnacentral:misc_RNA from 1 species